CAUCAGACACGAAGGAGAGGCCAACAGAUGAGGGAAGCCAUUUUUCUGCAAUGGAAUUAAAUGGCCAAGUGGGUUUUUCCUUUGUUGCAAAUGGGGAAUGUUUUUCCUUUGACUCUACCAUCCAGUUCAGGACGUCUCAGUGUGUUUAACAUUUGUCAACAGGCCCAAGGACUCACAGUUGGAAGACUGGAGAAGACUUUUUAAAAAGAUCUGGAUUUUUCCUUAUGACUUGGAAUCCAUCUUUGUCUUGUAUAACUAGGUCAUAGCACACCAUUCAUGUCAGCAGUUAACAGUUUUGAAUUCCAAAAAAACCUAAAGCAGUAAACAGUCCUCAGCGAAGCCGCCUUUUUGCCUACCCAACCCUGGAAAGUUUGCAGAAGUGGAAGGAGCAGAACGUGAGGGUGUAACUUACAAAAAGGUUCUGGGCCGGAGAAGGGGCGACGUUCGGGCACCCCCCGAAUGGACAAUCUUUCCUUCUGUCAACGGCAGGGGCAGGCCUAGUUUGACUCUGACAGUCCUCCCACUAAGGAAUUCCUGGUGACUGGAAGGGGGAGUGACUCAGGCCCUCAACCUCUAGCAGGUAAGGGAGCUACCUCCUGGGUGGGCAUGCCCAGUUCCUCAGUGGGCCCAGCGCGGCCCAGCCUCCGAGGAAGCUCUGAGCAGCUGGCUUGGCUCCGAGGUAUUUUUAGCUACAGAUCCAGCCCCCCUCCAUCACCACAACAGUCGAGUCCAAAUCAAACGCGCUCCAGGCAGGUGGGGCUGGGGUUCUGCCAGCCUCCUGGCCAGCAGGGGUGGGUGGGCAGACUGGGGCCAGUAUCAGCUGUUCUGCCUGGACCCAGGCCGGGCUGGGAAGGCACACUUGUGCUUAUUUCCCGCCUCCACUUCUGUGCAAGCUUGUGCUGUCAUAAGCAGAGAUCACAGCCCCAUUUCUUGGAUGGAGAAAGUGGACACUGAGGUCUGAGGCUUUUGAGGACAGUCAGGAGCCCUCCUAUGGGCUCCAGUGAUGCACUCACCAGCUUCUGGUCCUCUUCUUCCACCUCUUAGAGUGCCUUGGCUCCCUCCUGUCGUCCUGGGGAACCUCGGCCCCAGCCCUGCCUCCCCAGCCAGUCACAGCUCCUCCCUGGUCACCCUGAGGGAGCUCAGGGCCCGGCUGGUAGCUGGGUUGCUCUGCUUCUGUCCCCCACUCCUGUGGAGCCUGGCAGGCAACUCCAUGAUCUGACCCCGGUUACCUUGACAGCCCUGCCUGGCCUCCCCUCUCAUGGCCCAGCCACCCCAGAACCUGAAGAGGUUUUCUAGCUGCCGUGCAUUUGCCAGGCUGGGUUACCCACCCUACUUUCCCUGCCUGCCCUCCAGUGCUGCCAGGCCUAGUGUGCCAGCCAGCGCUCAGCCUUCAGUAAAGGGUUCCCCUGCUUCCAACCUCCAUUGCACUGCUUCCCCUAAGACUGUGACCUCCUGGAAGGCUGGAGCACAACUGCCUCUCAAUAAACGUGUUGCAAAAAAGGAA